AGAGUUUGAUUCUGGCUCAGAACGAACGCUGGCGGCAGGCCUAACACAUGCAAGUCGAGCGGCAGCACGGGUACUUGUACCUGGUGGCGAGCGGCGGACGGGUGAGUAAUGCCUAGGAAUCUGCCUGGUAGUGGGGGAUAACGCUCGGAAACGGACGCUAAUACCGCAUACGUCCUACGGGAGAAAGCAGGGGACCUUCGGGCCUUGCGCUAUCAGAUGAGCCUAGGUCGGAUUAGCUAGUUGGUGAGGUAAUGGCUCACCAAGGCGACGAUCCGUAACUGGUCUGAGAGGAUGAUCAGACACACUGGAACUGAGACACGGCCCAGACUCCUACGGGAGGCAGCAGUGGGGAAUAUUGGACAAUGGGCGGAAGCCUGAUCCAGCCAUGCCGCGUGUGUGAAGAAGGCCUUUUGGUUGUAAAGCACUUUAAGCGAGGAGGAGGCUACCUAGAUUAAUACUCUAGGAUAGUGGACGUUACUCGCAGAAUAAGCACCGGCUAACUCUGUGCCAGCCGCCGCGGUAAUUCA
rnacentral:rRNA from 1 species